rnacentral:rRNA from 1 species
GACAGAGGGUGCGAACGUUGUUCGGAAUUACUGGGCGUAAAGGGCGCGUAGGCGGCUUAUCAAGUCAGGCGUGAAAUUCCCGGGCUCAACCUGGGGGCUGCGCUUGAUACUGAUUGGCUUGAAUGCGGGAGAGGAUAGUGGAAUUCCCAGUGUAGAGGUGAAAUUCGUAGAUAUUGGGAAGAACACCGGUGGCGAAGGCGGCUAUCUGGCCCGUAAUUGACGCCGAGGCGCGAAAGCGUGGGGAGCAAACAGG